GUGGGGAAUAGUGGACAAUGGGCGAAAGCCUGAUCCAGCAAUGCCGCGUGAGUGAUGAAGGCCUUAGGGUUGUAAAGCUCUUUUACCAGGGAUGAUAAUGACAGUACCUGGAGAAUAAGCUCCGGCUAACUCCGUGCCAGCAGCCGCGGUAAUACGGAGGGAGCUAGCGUUGUUCGGAAUUACUGGGCGUAAAGCGCACGUAGGCGGCUACUCAAGUCAGAGGUGAAAGCCCGGGGCUCAACCCCGGAACUGCCUUUGAAACUAGGUAGCUAGAAUCUUGGAGAGGUCAGUGGAAUUCCGAGUGUAGAGGUGAAAUUCGUAGAUAUUCGGAAGAACACCAGUGGCGAAGGCGACUGACUGGACAAGUAUUGACGCUGAGGUGCGAAAGCGUGGGGAGCAAACAGGAUUAGAUACCCGUGUAGUCC
rnacentral:rRNA from 1 species